UACGGGGGGGGCAAGCGUUGUUCGGAAUUACUGGGCGUAAAGGGCUCGUAGGUGGCCAACUAAGUCAGACGUGAAAUCCCUCGGCUUAACCGGGGAACUGCGUCUGAUACUGGAUGGCUUGAGUUUGGGAGAGGGAUGCGGAAUUCCUGGUGUAGCGGUGGAAUGCGCAGAUAUCAGGAGGAACACCGAUGGCGAAGGCAGUUCUCUGGGCCGUAACUGACGCUGAGGAGCGAAAGCGUGGGGAGCGAACAGG
rnacentral:rRNA from 1 species